UACAGGGGGGGCAAGCGUUGUUCGGAAUUACUGGGCGUAAAGGGCCAGUAGGCGGCCAACUAAGUCACACGUGAAAUCCCCAGGCUUAACCUGGGAACUGCGUGUGAUACUGGAUGGCUUGAAUUCGGGAGAGGGAUGCAGAAUUCCAGGUGUAGCGGUGAAAUGCGCAGAUAUCAGGAGGAACACCGAUGGCGAAGGCAGGUCUCUGGGCCACUACUGACGCUGAGAAGCGAAAGCAUGGGGAGCGAACAGG
rnacentral:rRNA from 1 species